GACUGCUUCGGUGGCCAAAGUGGUUAGAGCAUCAGCCUUGGAUGCAGGAGUUUGUAGGUUCAAACCCUGGCCAAGUCA